AGAAAUUUAGGUUAACCCAAACCAAGAACCUUCAAAGUUCUAAACAUGAGCAACCACCCUCCUAAUUUCUG
rnacentral:tRNA from 1 species